UACCAGCACCCCGAGUGGUCGGGACGAUUAUUGGGCCUAAAGCAUCCGUAGCCGGUUCUACAAGUCUUCCGUUAAAUCCACCUGCUCAACAGAUGGGCUGCGGAGGAUACUAUAGAGCUAGGAGGCGGGAGAGGCAAGCGGUACUUAGUGGGUAGGGGUAAAAUCCGUUGAUCCAUUGAAGACCACCAGUGGCGAAGGCGGCUUGCCAGAACGCACUCGACGGUGAGGGAUGAAAGCUGGGGGAGCAAAUCGG
rnacentral:rRNA from 1 species